AGAUAUUUCCCACCAUUUUCCUUCCUUCAUCUCUAGAAAUUUCUCCAUCACCAACUCUUCAUGGUAUUAGAGCUCUGAAUUUUACCCUGCAAUGGCGAGUAAUCCAGUGCUCAAAUUGAGAUUCAAGACCAGGAAAAUCAAACUAAUUCAUCAAUUGAUUCGCCUGCUGUGGAAGUGAUGACUGGAGAUACAGUUUCCAUUGUCAAUCAAUUGGUUACGGAUCCGAGCAUCCCAUAAUAUCUCCGUUAUGGAGACAACACAGGGAUGCAACUCAUCUCUCUCAUGCUUACCGAAGACAAUUACGCAAUGUAGAGUCGAGCUAUUGUUAUGGCACUUAGUGUGAAAAAUAAGGAGGGAUUCAUUGACGGAAAGAUAGUCAAACCUCCUUUGGAUGAUCCUCUUUAUGGUGCUUGGAGGUGAUGUAAUCAUGUGGUUUCUUCUUGGAUUAUAAAAUCCAUUCCGAAGGAGUUAUACCCCAGUGUGAUGCACAAAGACUCUGCAAGACAAAUCUGGAUCGAACUCAAGGAUCACUAGAGCCAAGGUAAUGGGCCUCGAAUUUAUGAACUUAAGCAACAAAUUGCUUCAAUUACUCGAGGAAACAGCUCAGUCAACUCUUAUUUUAAUCGAUUCAAAGGACAAUGAAAAGAGCUGGAAAAUUAUAGACUAGAUCAUUUGAUGAUGUCAUGUGAAUCGCUAGAAACAUGUGAAGUGUAUGGUGCAAGUUAUAAGUCAGAAGAUCAGAUUAUGCAGUUUCUUAUGGGUUUAGAUGACCACUUCUCCGGUAUGAGGAGCCAAAUAUUGUUGAUGGAUCCAUUACCUUCACUCAACAAAGUGUUUGCUUUAAUCUUGCAAGAUGAAAGGCAAAAAGAAAUUGUUGCUAAGAAACAGCAGCAAUUUGAUGUAGUAGCCUGUUCUGGUAAACUAAUUCCCAAUUCCAUUGGAAAUCAAAGAUCCAGUGUACAUUCUCAGUCACAAAAAGUGGUAAGGCCAAUAUGUAGUCAAUGCGGUAUGCUUGGUCAUCUCAAAGGAAAAAGUUACAAACUUGUUGGUUAACCUCCUGGUUACAGACUUGAUAAAAGAAAAGCUCUAGUUGCAAGUGCUGUCAAUCAAGUAUCUCGAGUUGAUAAUUCAGAAGUGGUGAAUUCUCUCUCAAAACUCACCAUUACACCAGAUCAAUGUUAGAAAAUUCUAGGUGUGUUGGCACCGUAGCUGCAGGGACAGAUCUCUGCAUGUAGCCAACAACCUCAGGAUGUGAUGUCCUCCUCCUCUUCAAUGCCUAAUGCAUUUGCUUUUUCACACAAAUAUAAUUAAGUCAUGCUAUUAGAGGUAAUUAAGUCAUGCUAUUAGAGGUUAGAGAGAGAGAGAGAGAGAGAGAGUUGUUGAGUUGUGUUAUCUUAGAGGUAAUUAAGUCAUUGUACAUUAUUUCUGGUAUAGUUCUAGCUGGGUGAGUCCUAGUGUAUAUAUAUGUGUAUGUAUGUACUGAUGACGUUUGAAGAGAAUAGAAGUAAUAACAGAUAUUUCCCACCAUUUUCCUUCCUUCAUCUCUAGAAAUUUCUCCAUCACCAACUCUUCAUGGUAUUAGAGCUCUGAAUUUUACCCUGCAAUGGCGAGUAAUCCAGUGCUCAAAUUGAGAUUCAAGACCAGGAAAAUCAAACUAAUUCAUCAAUUGAUUCGCCUGCUGUGGAAGUGAUGACUGGAGAUACAGUUUCCAUUGUCAAUCAAUUGGUUACGGAUCCGAGCAUCCCAUAAUAUCUCCGUUAUGGAGACAACACAGGGAUGCAACUCAUCUCUCUCAUGCUUACCGAAGACAAUUACGCAAUGUAGAGUCGAGCUAUUGUUAUGGCACUUAGUGUGAAAAAUAAGGAGGGAUUCAUUGACGGAAAGAUAGUCAAACCUCCUUUGGAUGAUCCUCUUUAUGGUGCUUGGAGGUGAUGUAAUCAUGUGGUUUCUUCUUGGAUUAUAAAAUCCAUUCCGAAGGAGUUAUACCCCAGUGUGAUGCACAAAGACUCUGCAAGACAAAUCUGGAUCGAACUCAAGGAUCACUAGAGCCAAAGUAAUGGGCCUCGAAUUUAUGAACUUAAGCAACAAAUUGCUUCAAUUACUCGAGGAAACAGCUCAGUCAACUCUUAUUUUAAUCGAUUCAAAGGACAAUGAAAAGAGCUGGAAAAUUAUAGACUAGAUCAUUUGAUGAUGUCAUGUGAAUCGCUAGAAACAUGUGAAGUGUAUGGUGCAAGUUAUAAGUCAGAAGAUCAGAUUAUGCAGUUUCUUAUGGGUUUAGAUGACCACUUCUCCGGUAUGAGGAGCCAAAUAUUGUUGAUGGAUCCAUUACCUUCACUCAACAAAGUGUUUGCUUUAAUCUUGCAAGAUGAAAGGCAAAAAGAAAUUGUUGCUAAGAAACAGCAGCAAUUUGAUGUAGUAGCCUGUUCUGGUAAACUAAUUCCCAAUUCCAUUGGAAAUCAAAGAUCCAGUGUACAUUCUCAGUCACAAAAAGUGGUAAGGCCAAUAUGUAGUCAAUGCGGUAUGCUUGGUCAUCUCAAAGGAAAAAGUUACAAACUUGUUGGUUAACCUCCUGGUUACAGACUUGAUAAAAGAAAAGCUCUAGUUGCAAGUGCUGUCAAUCAAGUAUCUCGAGUUGAUAAUUCAGAAGUGGUGAAUUCUCUCUCAAAACUCACCAUUACACCAGAUCAAUGUUAGAAAAUUCUAGGUGUGUUGGCACCGUAGCUGCAGGGACAGAUCUCUGCAUGUAGCCAACAACCUCAGGAUGUGAUGUCCUCCUCCUCUUCAAUGCCUAAUGCAUUUGCUUUUUCAGGUAAUGGUACAUGUCCCAGUGCUCCUACACUUGCAGAUAAAUGGAUUAUAGACACAGGAGCCUCCAAAAUUAUGGUUUGUUCCCUUAAACACUUGACUACUGUGACUAACCCAAUUGAUGGAUCAGUAAAACUUCCCGAUGAUAGUAUAGCUUCUGUUACACACACUGGGACAAUAAAGUUAUCUGCUAAUCUGGUUUUAACAAAUGUCUUAUUCGUGCCAUGUUUCAAGUUUAACUUGAUAUCUGUUAGCAAAUUGAUCAGUGAGCGCAACUGUUUCUUGAAAUUUGCUCACAAUUAUUGCUUUGUUCAGGAUCUUUUGACAUGAAUGACGAUUGGGGUGGGCAAGUUUGAAGAUGGACCAUAUCAUCUUCAGCAACCCGAGUAUCAAUGCAAUGAAGAAUCUUCCCAAAACUCUCACCAAUUCCCACAUAAUAACUCUGUUUCAUCUUUGAUAUGUAAUAAAGAGAAUCCAGUUGUUUGUACCCCAAUGAACAUUAAUGAGGUCAACACAAAUAUUGACGUUUAGCAUUGUCAAUUAGGACAUGUUCUUGUUUCUAAACUGUCCCUUUUACAUAAAGUUGUCCCUAUCAUUACCGUUGAUGAAAAGUUGCAUUGUUCCUUUUGUCCCAUGGCUAAACAACAUAGAUUACCUUUUCAAAACAGUGAAACAAAAACUUCCAAACAAGCUAAGCAAGUCCAUUUAUGGACUCAAACAAGCAUCAAGGAAAUGGAAUACCAAGUUGACAGCCUAUAUUAUGUCACAGGGUUUUCGGCAGUCAAAAUCCAAUUAUACUUUGUUUAGUAAACAACAUGGCUACUCAUUCACGAUACUUCUUAUCUACGUGGAUGACAUUAUCAUAGGUGGAAACAAUUCAACUUAUAUCUAGCAGUUCAAAGAGGAGCUGAAUGAUCAAUUCAAACUAAAGGACUUGGGAGCUUUAAAAUACUUCUUAGGACUUGAAAUAGCAAGAACUUCAAAAGGAACAUCCGUUUACCAAAGAAAGUAUUGGAGGAUGCUGGUUAUUUAGGUGCCAAACCAGCAAGGAGUCCUUCACCGCAUAACCUGAAGUUAAGCAAAGAUGAAGGGAAAGUUAUUAUAGACGCUAGCAUGCAUCGAAGAUUGGGGGGAAGGAUAUUGUACUUGACAAUAAUAAGGCCCGAUUUGUCUUAUGCAACACAAGUUCUUAGCCAAUUUCUUGAGUCUCUAAAACAGCCUCAUUUGGAAGCAGCUCACCAUUUUUUGAGAUAUUUGAAGGGAACACCUGGACAAGGAUUAUUCUUUAGUAGCAAAUCUGAUUUACACCUUAAAAGAUUUUGCGAUGCAGAUUAGGCCUCAUGUUUAGACUCAAGAAGGUCCGUUACAGGCUAUUGCAUAUUUCUGGGAGAUUCAAUGGUGUCUUGGAAAUCUAAGAAGCAAUACACAGUCUCAAGAUCCUCAGCUAAAGCAGAAUACAGGUUCAUGGCAAUUGCAGCUUGUGAAUUGAGCUGGUUGAAGAAUAUACUAUGUGACUUAAGUGUCAUACACACUAGGGCUGCAUUACUUUUCUGCAAUAGUCAAGCAAUCCGGUAUUCCAUAAAAGAACGAAGCAUAUAGAAAUCGAUUGCCACCUUGUAAGGGACAAAGUGGAAGCAGGAGAAGUGAAGAUGUUGCAUACGGCAUCACAAAAUCAAUUGGCAGAUCUGCUAACUAAACCCAUAGGAGGAGCAAAGUUCAAAUCAUUAUUAAGCAAGAUGGGAAUAUUGAAUAUACAUUUUCCAUCUUGAGAGGGAGUGUUGAGUCGUGUUAGCUUAGGGGUAAUUAAGUCAUUGUACAUUCUUUAUGGUAUAGUUUUAGCUGGGUGAGUCCUCGUGUGUGUGUGUGUGUGUGUGUGUGUGUGUGCAUGUAUGUGCUGAUGACAUGUGAAAAGAAUAGAAGUAAUAACAGAUAUUUCCC
rnacentral:lncRNA from 1 species